rnacentral:rRNA from 1 species
GAUCAUGGCUCAGAUUGAACGCUGGCGGAAUGCUUUACACAUGCAAGUCGAGCGGCAGCGCGGGGCAACCUGGCGGCGAGCGGCGAACGGGUGAGUAAUGCAUCGGAACAUGUCCAUGUCGUGGGGGAUAGCCCGGCGAAAGCCGGAUUAAUACCGCAUACGCUCGAGAGAGGAAAGCCGGGGACCGCAAGGCCUAGGCGCGAUUGGGUUGGCCGAUGUCCGAUUAGCUAGUUGGUGGGGUAAAGGCUUACCAAGGCGAUGAUCGGUAGCUGGUCUGAGAGGAUGAUCAGCCACACUGGGACUGAGACACGGCCCAGACUCCUACGGGAGGCAGCAGUGGGGAAUUUUGGACAAUGGGGGCAACCCUGAUCCAGCCAUUCCGCGUGAGUGAAGAAGGCCUUCGGGUUGUAAAGCUCUUUUGUCCGGAGCGAAACGGUGUCGGUGAAUAUCCGACGCUACUGACGGUACCGGAAGAAUAAGCACCGGCUAACUACGUG